rnacentral:rRNA from 1 species
GGACGAAAGUCUGACGGAGCCAACGCCGCGUGAGUGAUGAAGGUUUUCGGAUCGUAAAGCUCUGUUGUUAGGGAAGAACAAGUACCGUUCGAAUAGGGCGGUACCUUGACGGUACCUAACCAGAAAGCCACGGCUAACUACGUGCCAGCAGCCGCGGUAAUACGUAGGUGGCAAGCGUUGUCCGGAAUUAUUGGGCGUAAAGGGCUCGCAGGCGGUUUCUUAAGUCUGAUGUGAAAGCCCCCGGCUCAACCGGGGAGGGUCAUUGGAAACUGGGGAACUUGAGUGCAGAAGAGGAGAGUGGAAUUCCACGUGUAGCGGUGAAAUGCGUAGAGAUGUGGAGGAACACCAGUGGCGAAGGCGACUCUCUGGUCUGUAACUGACGCUGAGGAGCGAAAGCGUGGGGAGCGAACAGGAUUAGAUACCCUGGUAGUCCACGCCGUAAACGAUGAGUGCUAAGUGUUAGGGGGUUUCCGCCCCUUAGUGCUGCAGCUAACGCAUUAAGCACUCCGCCUGGGGAGUACGGUCGCAAGACUGAAACUCAAAGG